rnacentral:rRNA from 1 species
GACGAACGCUGGCGGCGUGCCUAACACAUGCAAGUCGAACGGGGUGUUGGAAGCUUGCUUCCGACACUUAGUGGCGAACGGGUGAGUAACGCGUGAGGAACCUGCCUUUCAGUGGGGGACAACAGUUGGAAACGACUGCUAAUACCGCAUAACAUAUUCGAGCGGCAUCGCUUGAAUAUCAAAGCUUUAUGUGCUGAAAGAUGGCCUCGCGUCUGAUUAGCUAGUUGGUGGGGUAACGGCCCACCAAGGCGACGAUCAGUAGCCGGUCUGAGAGGAUGAACGGCCACAUUGGGACUGAGAUACGGCCCAGACUCCUACGGGAGGCAGCAGUGGGGAAUAUUGGGCAAUGGGGGAAACCCUGACCCAGCAACGCCGCGUGAAGGAAGAAGGCCUUCGGGUUGGUAAACUUCUUUACCUAGGACGAAGAACGU